rnacentral:rRNA from 1 species
ACGAACGCUGGCGGCGUGCUUAACACAUGCAAGUCGAACGGAAAGGCCCUGCUUUUGUGGGGUGCUCGAGUGGCGAACGGGUGAGUAACACGUGAGUAACCUGCCCUUGACUUUGGGAUAACUUCAGGAAACUGGGGCUAAUACCGGAUAGGAGCUCCUGCUGCAUGGUGGGGGUUGGAAAGUUUCGGCGGUUGGGGAUGGACUCGCGGCUUAUCAGCUUGUUGGUGGGGUAGUGGCUUACCAAGGCUUUGACGGGUUGCCGGCCUGAGAGGGUGCCCGGCCACAUUGGAACUGGGAUACGGCACAGACUCCUACGGGAGGCAGCAGUGGGGAAUAUUGCACAAUGCGCGGAAGCCUGAUGCUGCAACGCCGCGUGCGGGAUGACGGCCUUCGGCUUGUAAACCGCUUUCGCCUGUGACGAAGCGUGAGAGACGGUAAUGGAUAAAGAAGCACCGGCUAACUACGUG